GCGCACCAGGCGCGAAACCUUCGCAAUGCGGGAAACCGCGACGAGGGGACUCCCAGUGCCUACGCUCAGCGUAGGCUGUUCCCGAGCCUAGAAAGCUCGGGGAGUAAGGGCUGGGUAAGACGGGUGCCAGCCGCCGCGGUAAUACCCGCAGCCCGAGUGGUGGCCACUAUUAUUGGGCCUAAAGCGUCCGUAGCCGGCCCGGUAAAUGCCUGGGUAAAUCGUGAGGCCUAACCUCACGAAUUCCGGGUAGACUGCCGGGCUAGGGGACCGGAGGAGGGAGAGGGGUACUCCAGGGGGUAGGGGUGAAAUCCUGUAAUCCCUGGAGGACCACCGGUGGCGAAGGCGCUCUCCUAGGACGGGUCCGACGGUGAGGGACGAAAGCCAGGGGGAGCGAACCGGAUUAGAUA
rnacentral:rRNA from 1 species